rnacentral:piRNA from 1 species
UCCAUGGUCACACAGGCAGUCUUGGUC